rnacentral:rRNA from 1 species
UACGUAUGGUGCAAGCGUUGUUCGGAAUCAUUGGGCGUAAAGGGUGUGUAGGCGGAUUAACAAGUCAGAUGUGAAACCUUCGAGCUCAACUCGAAGCCUGCAUUUGAAACUGUUGGUCUGGAAUCUGGGAGAGGCAAGUGGAAUUUCUGGUGUAGCGGUGAAAUGCGUAGAUAUCAGAAGGAACACCGAUGGCGAAGGCAACUUGCUGGCCUAAGAUUGACGCUGAAACACGAAAGCGUGGGUAGUGAACGGG